AUUUAACUUUCGAUGAAGGAUUCAGCGCAAUCUUCAGUGACAAAGGAACAAGUCUUGUCGGGGAGACCAGUCUCUCUUCACGUGAGGUCAAAUGAGCAGCAAGCUCCCGGACUAAGGCGUGGAACGUGCAGUCUCCUCUCCACAAGAA